rnacentral:rRNA from 1 species
GGAGUUGGUGGAUGUUUCUCUAUGGAUGAUCGUGGUGUUGUUUUCUUUGAGAAUCGCUUGGUGGUUCCCAAGAAUCAACAUCUGCGACAAUUGAUUCUUAAGGAGGCGCAUGAAUCCCCUCUCACGAUUCAUCCCGGUAGUACUAAGAUGUAUCAGGACCUACGCGAGAGGUUCUUCUGGACUAGGAUGAAGAGAGAAAUCGCUGAGUUCAUUGCUAAAUGCGACAUAUGUCGUCGCGUUAAGGCAGAGCAUCAAAGACCUGCUGGCACCCUUCAGCCUUUAGCUAUUCCUGAAUGGAAAUGGGAUAAAGUUGGUAUGGACUUCAUUACCGGUUUUCCCAGGACCAAGAGAGGGAAUAAC